AUACUGUAAGAAGGACGGCACCCCCAAUCACCAUUUCUUUCUCUGCCCGAAAGGAGAUUCUAGGCGGAGCAAUGAAGAGGAAAGUGGGAGAGGCAGCAGAGGAAAAGGCAAACUGACUGAUGAACAAGAGGGUUUCUUGUCUGAACUUUCCCCAGAUAUGGCAGAGAGGUGCAAAACAGCUUUUACAAAUAAUACGACGGGAACAACGAAAACCAGCAAGACCCAGUUUGAGCUUUUAGACAAGAGCGGACUCUGUGAACUUCCCGUCAUCAUGAUGCUGAUGGAGGUCACCGCCAAUGCAGGUCAGAAGAUUGGAACUCUGUUGGACCUUGCUUCUGACACAAACUACGUUACCCAUAAGGCUGCUGACAGACUGAGGCUACGGAGUGAGAAGGUGACCUUAGUUGUGCAUGGUGUGGGCGGGAUGACCAUGAAGGUCGACACAGAAAGAUACCUCCUCAGAGUCAGGAUCAAGACACCUCAAGGCAAGGAGGUAGCCCAUGAACUUGUUUGCUAUGGGCUGGAUGAGAUCGCCAAAGUACAUAAGGUUGUUAAACCUGAAAAAUUACGGAAAUUCUUCCCAGAAGUUGAGCUGGAGGAGUUGAAGAGACCAAGAGAAGUUGAGCUUCUCAUCAGCCACAGAGAGGGAAGACUGGCCCCACAGAGGGUGAGAGUGGUAGGAGACCUCGUCUUGUGGGAGGGUCCAUUAGGGAAAACAGUGGGCGGAGCACACCCCGAUCUGAUCGAGGACGUAGAGGUGGCAGCACAUGAGUCAAAAACCCACUUUGCUCGCUCCAUGAGAACUGCUGCUGUCAGAUAUGAAGAGAUCAGAGAGCUGAAGACUGAGGGACCCUUGUUGCAAAAUAAAGAUGUGGUCGAAGCAAGGCUUACAACUGCUACCAACCGUGAGUUCCUUGAAUGGUGGAGAUGGGAGAGUAUUGGAGCAGCCUGCGAGCCAAAGUGUGGAGGAUGUCGGUGUGGAAAUUGCCAGCCCGGAGGGAAAGAAAUGAGCCUGG
rnacentral:lncRNA from 1 species